AAAUGGACUACUUCUCUCCACCCCUUGGAAACGCCUGUUCAUAUGGAGAUGUACUAAAGCCAGCUUCCCUUGUGUCCACUGGGUAAAGUUCUAUAUGCAUAUUACAUGGCUGCAAGACCCUGCAUGAUCUGGCACCAGUGAUUUCUCCGGCUGCUCACCUCCUCUAACUGUAUGGGAAUGCUCCUGAUUCACAAAGAUACUACUAGCCUUUACUUCCUGAGAAGUUGUCCUGUUGAGCCUUUGAGUAAUGGCUGUACCUCUGAGACUAGAAACUGAGGUUUUUGCUGGAGGGAAGGUACAUUCAAGUUGUCUAUCACCCAGUAAAGACCUGGGUGAAGGCACUCAGAUGGGAGGACAGACAAAUGGCCUCUAGAACCUGGAGACUUUAGGCAGGGGUCCCCCGUCCUCCAAUUCAGAAUGAGCGAAAUAGACAAGGCAAUUUCAGGGAACUUCUCAUGUCAAAGUCUUGUGUGCUAUCCCUGAACCUUUAGUAAAAUCCCCUCCAAACACCCCAGAAAAAGAUUUCACUGUAGGCAAGGCCAUUCAAACCAUCGAGCAACCAACCACAGCCAGGUCAGUGUGAAGGCGCCAGUAGAAUUACAUUAUGAGACCCCCAAAGGGAGAGAGUAUCAGGCAAGAGAAACUAGGGCCACUAAAUCCCAGUGAUUUCUCCUUUCACUGCAAACAUUAGAGGAUAUGGGUUAGUAAAUAAGCUUCCUUAUGCAACUUUAAAUUCCCCAGAUUCCAUGAACUUUGCACAUUCUGUUCUUUGUGCCCAAACUUCAGUUCCCUCCUUUUUUUCUUCCGACAAACUCUUACUCAUCGUUCAUAUUCCUGAUUCAGACAUCAUAUUCUGUAGACAACCUAUCCUGACACCUAAACUAACUCGGUCCUCUAUCUCCUCUUCUAAAUCUGGGCUCCCUUCGAAUAGAGACUGCCUUUAGUUGCAACACCUAAUAGUGCAAGAAACUAUGUACUCAAUAAAUAAAGGUCUACUGAA